AACGAACGCUGGCGGCAUGCCUAACACAUGCAAGUCGAACGAGAUCUUCGGGUCUAGUGGCGCACGGGUGCGUAACGCGUGGGAAUCUGCCCUUUGGUUCGGAAUAACAGUUGGAAACGACUGCUAAUACCGGAUGAUGACGAAAGUCCAAAGAUUUAUCGCCAGAGGAUGAGCCCGCGUAGGAGUAGCUAGUUGGUGUGGUAAAGGCGCACCAAGGCGACGAUCCUUAGCUGGUCUGAGAGGAUGAUCAGCCACACUGGGACUGAGACACGGCCCAGACUCCUACGGGAGGCAGCAGUGGGGAAUAUUGGACAAUGGGCGAAAGCCUGAUCCAGCAAUGCCGCGUGAGUGAUGGAGGCCUUAGGGUUGUAAAGCUCUUUUACCCGGGAUGAUAAUGACAGUACCGGGAGAAUAAGCUCCGGCUAACUCCGUGCCAGCAGCCGCGGUAA
rnacentral:rRNA from 1 species